CCCCUGUGGACAGCUGUGCUAUUUGCCUGCUUUGUUUUUUUCUCUCUCUUACCUCUUAUUUCCCUGUUCUCUCCACCAAUGCAUUCAGAUCCCCGGGAUGGAGUGCGCUGAUACUGCUGCGUUCUUCCUGCACCAACUGUCCGGGCGGCUCAGCAUGUUCUACAGAACAGCAUGCCUUUGGGAAUGCUUGGAGUAUGUAGCCUGACAGCAAGAGAACACUGCGCUCUUCUGGCUAUUUCUCAACAUGUCAGAGGGACAGGAGUGUGCUCAGCCUUGUGUGGUUGCACGUAUGCAAAAAUCCCUAUCGCAGCUGUAAACAUCUUUGUUGUUCUGCUUUACAGCAGUAGUGUGUGACGAGAAGCCUACCACUAUCGAUUUAGAGGAGGUAAUUAAUUGUGACAGUUCCCCUUUCUUCUUCCCUUGACGAUGGAGGUGAUGGGGUUCUCCUAUGCUAUGUGCUGGUGUAAUACCUCUGAGCCUCAGUUUUGAUGGGUUCAGCAAAGCUCAUGGCAACAGGCUUUGGUCAACCUCAGAUCUGCUGAUGAGAUAAAUAGAUGAUGAUAAGAGAGACCAAAAGAAAAAAACACGAGGCAAGAGUUGUUUUUUUCUUCUAGUCAGCACGCCAUCGCUAAAUCUUCCAUACUGUGACUUUUAUCUUGAUAGUGAUGAUCCCUUAACCUCACACGUUUAGCACAACGCUUUCUGUUGUGGAGAUUCCCACCAGUGACAAAGUAUUAGUGCCGCUUUUCUGCCUGUCUCUUUUUGUCUGUAUUUUCUGGCGUGUGGGGAUUUCUUUUAGUGGCCCACAAGCACUUCCCAGAUAAGCAAGCAGCGCAGGAGGAGGCAGGGGCAAGAGGCAGGAGCAAGGGCAGAGUGGUUUCUUUGUUACUAAAUGGAAUGACUGUAUUUUCUGCAUGUGGAUUUGCCAUAGUGCUUCUUACAAGGCCUAAGGGUGGGAUGAAAUGUGCCCUGAAGCAGGCGUGCUUGCAGGAAGGCACAAGAGAAAUGCAAAUCAUUUACCCCCAAAAUGCAAAUCAUUACCCCAAAGAGGGUAAUCCCAGGAAAAAGAGGGGACAGGAAAAAAUCUUUUCUAUUAACCCCAGACUUGAUGGGAAAGGAAAAGCUGAAGAAGCAGGUGUGUUUGGGGGUGUUCGUCUUCUAGACUGCACCCAGAGAAGGCGAAUGAUUCUGAUGCCGCAGUCUUGGAACUCCAGUCAGUACACAGCUGGAAGGAUUUCUGGGCUGAGAUGAAUUUCUCUCUCUGCAGCUGCUGAUCUAUUGGAUUUUGUGUUCUAGUGCACGGAAGCUUUUGGGCAUGAUUUAUCCUCACUAUACCUCACACUGGGUGGGAAAAGUUGGCACUGGAUCUCACAUAGCAGCUUGUAACAAAGCUCUUGCGCAAUAAAGAAGCAUUUCAACCGCUGCUUCUUGCAGCAGUACAGUGUUUCCAAAGAGAGAAAAACACCACUACUGGCAUAAACUGGAUUUCUGCUGUUGGUUGAGCAUGUGCAGUGGAAUUGCCAGGUCACAGCCUGAGCCAGUACGUGAGCACAUGAGUGCCUGGAGCUGGGGGAGCCUAGAUCCACCCUUCCUCUUUCUCCGUCCCAGCAGUGCUUCUGGGAGCGCGUACGCAGUCAGUCCGCAGGGGUCUCCUCAGCCCCCCCCCACGCCCCCCCAGGCCCGUCCCCCCCUUCUUCCAGCGAUCCAGAUUUCAAAGCGGAGAAGGCUGUGUUCCUCAGCUCACCCCUUUCUUCCAAACUCUCGCUCGGAGGGGUGAGUUGAUUGCUCUUUCUUUGAUAGCUUGUCCUAUAGUGCCUAGAUCUCAAAGAAAGGCUCUGUCAUUGCCCUUGUUUGCUUUACAGCAUGUCAGAGGUCGGUCAUUGCUAGGAAAGCUUGUGCUUUAAAGCACCAGGUUGUAUAGAGAAGGUAAUUCUAAAAGCGAGCUUGCCAGUUCUUUUUUACCUAAGUGGUUUUUGAGCAAGGAAAGAUUGGAGAUGCUGUUUGCUCAUGGAAGAUGGAGAGGAGGAAAAGCAAGUAAGACGCAUGCUGUGCAUAGCCACUGCAUGCCACCUGCACCAUUUCCCCCCUGAACAAAGGAGGAGCAGCUCAGCGAGCGUGUCCUGGGCCAUCGAAGGGAACAUCCAAACAUCUGGACCAACACCAAAUGGCUUAAUUCCGUAUGUUCGUUGUUUCUCUGUUGUUUGUCUCACAUCCUUCUGGAAAGAAAGCAGGAGGAGACAGACCUCCAAUUUGAUCCUGCUGUGUGUGAUGAUUACGGCCAAGGGGCAGAAGUUGGUGCUUAGGCAGGGGUAAAGCUAGGAAAGCUAAGGCUCGUCGAGGAACGAGAGAUUACAGUAGAGCUCAUUCUACAUGGCUGUUCAGCACGUUGAAGGUAUUUAUCGUGCAGCAGGAUCUGUCUGGCUGCAGGAACAUGGUCGGAUACGUUGAUUCCAGUAGAAACUCAGUAAGCAGCGGCGGUGUGUGCAAAGUGCUGAUUGUAAUGGACUUCUGCCGAGGUGAGUGGGGGCUCAGCGUGUUGCUCAGUGGUAGGUUUGGUCAUUUUCAGUGCUGACAGGAAACGUGCAUGCAAGGAGUGACCAGAAGGGUUGGAGCCAGGGUCCGCCCCUUCUGAGACCCCCUUGAAGGGCUGGCAGUGGAGGGGCAAGGGUAUGUCGCUGGAGAUCCCUGCAUACCUGAAACCUGCUGAAGUUAGGCAGCUUCUUUCCUUUCUUUCUCUGCCCACAGCUUUUGCAUGUGAGCAAAUCCUCACUUGCUGCAGCCUAGGACCUUGCUGUCAUUGCUGCGCUUUCCAUCACGUUGCAGUACCCAAGCAGGAGGCUUACUUCUCUCCUCCUGCACGGGCACAACCACUUCAAAGCAUCUCUUAAGAGAGAGAUUACUUUGUUCAACCAGUACUGGCAGCAAAGUUAUCACUUGCGAUCACUGAGCCAUUUCAGCACAUUUUUUUAAUAGGUAAAAAGUAUCAAGGGAAGAUUUCUGCCUUUACCUGGACGAACCUGUCCACCGUGUUCUGGGUCAGGCCUUCUGACUUCUUCUUGGCUUUGCUUAUCCUACUGAACAAAAUUUAAACAAAUAAAGAAUGAGAAAUAAAAAUAGGUGGAAGUCAGCAAACACUUGUUUCUCCCCUUUCACGCCCACGACAUCAUUCUUCACUUGAGAGUAAAGUUCACAUGGCAGCAGGUUUACUCCCUUACGCAGUGUGAUCCUACAGAGCGAGGUAUGAGUUGGCUCCAUCAGCGCUCAACUCCACAGCACUGUCUACUGGGAAGAUGAGGGCUGCCCCUCCGAAAUGCUGAGACAAGCUUUGGUAACAAGAGCCCAGCAUCGCCGAGUUCAUGACCAAAACUUUUUGCAAAGCAAAUACGACAUUUCCUUCAGAGCUUCAUCUGUAGACCCACGUCACACUUUGACGUUUCCUUCGCUCCUUUAAUAAAUAUUCCCACUACAGACUUCUGACUUACACAGUGCUCCAAAAUCUUGCCUGCGCUGUUGAGCCUAACUCUCGCAUCAGGCUAACCCCAUUCUCAUACACAUAACGGCACCAAAAGCUGGAGCAGGUUAUUCCAGGCACACAAGCGUGACCGGAGAACAAGCUCCAAAGCAUACUGAGACCUUACGUGCUUCCUGCAAGGCUCUGACAGCGCCACUCUCCCCAGUACUGGACACAGACUCCGUAAACUGCAUAGUCCAGAGCCAAGGUGGAAAAAAAUAAAAGCAGGUACUUGCUCCAGCAUCAUACCAUGCUGCCCCCUGGACCCACCAUGGACCAAUUAAAGGUCAACCAGGGGAUCGGGCCCAGUCAGCAUGGGCUGACGAACGGUAGAUCCAGUUUGACAAACCUGAUUCCAUUCUGUGACAAGGUGACCCGCUUAGCGGAUGAAGGUAAGGCUGUCGAUGGGGUCUACCUGGACUUCAGUAAAGCCUUUGACACUGUACCCCACA